rnacentral:misc_RNA from 1 species
GGAUAGGGUCCUAAGGAUAUAGAAUUGCUAAAAAGUAUUACAGAAAUAUCGCUUUUAUCUGUGUAAAUUGCAGAAGCAAUUAAACCUGGAAAUUGCUUUUGACUGGAUAAUUUUUUUCAGACUCACCAUCAAGAGACUCCACUAUAUUCAAUACUCAUGCAGCAUGUGGCACAAGGGGGUUUUAAAUGUAACUAUGGAUUUUCAGG